AUGAACGCUGGCGGCGUGCCUAAUACAUGCAAGUCGAGCGAACGGACGAGAAGCUUGCUUCUCUGAUGUUAGCGGCGGCCGGGUGAGUAACACGUGGAUAACCUACCUAUAAGACUGGGAUAACUUCGGGAAACCGUAGCUAAUACCGGAUAAUAUUUUGAACCGCAUGGUUCCAAAGUGAAAGACGGUCUUGCUGUCACUUAUAGAUGGAUCCGCGCUGCAUUAGCUAGUUGGUAAGGUAACGGCUUACCAAGGCAACGAUGCAUAGCCGACCUGAGAGGGUGAUCGGCCACACUGGAACUGAGACACGGUCCAGACUCCUACGGGAGGCAGCAGUAGGGAAUCUUCCGCAAUGGGCGAAAGCCUGACGGAGCAACGCCGCGUGAGUGAUGAAGGUCUUCGGAUCGUAAAACUCUGUUAUUAGGGAAGAACAUAUGUGUAAGUAACUGUGCACAUCUUGACGGUACCUAAUCAGAAAGCCACGGCUAACUACGUG
rnacentral:rRNA from 1 species